GGGAACACAGAUGAGAGUGUAUCAUUAACCAAGGAUUACUAGAAGUCCAAUUUGUACAUCUGAGGUCCUAA
rnacentral:snoRNA from 1 species